UACGGAGGGUGCAAGCGUUAUCCGGAUUUAUUGGGUUUAAAGGGUCCGUAGGCGGAUCUGUAAGUCAGUGGUGAAAUCUCACAGCUUAACUGUGAAACUGCCAUUGAUACUGCAGGUCUUGAGUGUUAUUGAAGUAGCUGGAAUAAGUAGUGUAGCGGUGAAAUGCAUAGAUAUUACUUAGAACACCAAUUGCGAAGGCAGGUUACUAAGCAGCAACUGACGCUGAUGGACGAAAGCGUGGGGAGCGAACAGG
rnacentral:rRNA from 1 species